CCCAUGUGAAACAUAGACUAUGUCCAAUCUCAUUAUCCUGUAUCUACCCCAGCGCUUAGAAUAGUGGUUGAUACAUAGUAACCACUAAACAAUUACCCUAAAAAAUAAAAUAAAGCUGCCAUAUCCUCAACAGUCGGGGUCAGACCAGCUGAAAACCGGUUGUCUGGUCCCCUUAGGUACAACACACAUAUAAGCUUGAGGGCAUUUUCCAUUGACUCUAGUGAAGUCUGACUAGCUGCUACACUGCCUCGUUUUCAGAUUGUUUGCUCUUUCCCCAACAGCUAACAUGGAAGACUGUAGAAUAUAAUCCAGAGAAUUUCAGAAGCAGAGGCUCUUUUGUUGAUGAACAGGUGGAGCUGAAGCCGAUUAGAAGUUUGCUUACAGACUGUGAGGUCUUGUGACAUCCACGGAUAAGAUUUUCAUUUCAUAAUCUAAAUAUGCCUCGCUUUAAAAACCAGGGUGCAGGAGUACAGAAGAUGAAGAAACCUCAAGGGUCAGCCGUGGCCAAUACUUGGAAGCCUUGGAAGUUUUGUCCAGCAUCAUGACAUCUGGUUGGAGAGGGUGAAGAAUGAGGUGCAUUCCUGUUUAGAUGUCCUUGUCUCUCUGCUGACUCUCACCUUGACAGGGUGUAGAGGCAUCUUGGAGGGGACAGCUUGCGUUGACAUGCAACUGCCAUUUGACAGGAGGUGGGUGGGGCUUUUUCUAACCCUAUCAUUCGUCACUCUGUGCUGGUCUCUGAGGCUCUGUUUGGACAGGCUGGGGUGAAGGGAUGGAAGCUGCAGAGCUAACUGGACCUGUUAGAAAAGUUGGUGUUUUGACCACUGGUGGGCAGGUGGUGACUGCCUGGUCAGGACCCUGGAGGUUGGCCUGGCAGUUUCCAUGAAGUCCCA
rnacentral:lncRNA from 1 species